rnacentral:rRNA from 1 species
AGGGAGCAUGAGAAACGGCUACCACAUCUAAGGAAGGCAGCAGGCGCGUAAAUUACCCAAUCCUGACUCAGGGAGGUAGUGACAAGAAAUAGCAAACCGGGAACCUCAUGGUUUCACGGUAUUGCAAUGAGAACAAUUUAAAACCCUUAGCGAGAAUCAAGGGGAGGACAAGUCUGGUGCCAGCACCCGCGGUAAUUCCAGCUCCACUAGCGUAUAUUAAAGUUGUUGCAGUUAAAAAGCUCGUAGUUGAACCUCUGUCUGGGGCUAGUUUUGGCUUUGGUCAGGCUAGUUCUAGGCGUCCGCCUACAAGACUUAGAGGGCAUUCAGUUGUUCACUAGGAGGAGUAGGCAUUUUACUUUGAAAAAAUUAGAGUGUUUAAGGCAGGCAAUCGCCCGCAUAUAUUAGCAUGGAAUAAUAGAAUAGGACACUUUUCCAUUUCGUUGGUUAUUGGAAUCGUGUAAUGAUUAAUAGGGACAGUUGUGGGCAUUUGUAUUUAAUUGUCAGAGGUGAAAUUCUUGGAUUUAUUAAAGACAAACUAACGCGAAAGCAUUUGCCAAGGAUGUUUUCAUUAAUCAAGAACGAAAGUUAGGGGAUCAAAGACGAUCAGAUACCGUCCUAGUCUUAACUAUAAACUAUUCCGACUCAAUGUUUGACUGGCUUAUAUAACCAGUUGAGCGUUGUAUGAGAAAUCAAAGUCUUUAGGUUCUGGGGGGAGUAUGGUUGCAAAGCUGAAACUUAAAGGAAUUGACGGAAGAGCACAACCAGGAGUGGAUUCUGCGGCUUAAUUUGACUCAACACGGGGAAACUUACCAGGUUAAAACAAUAGUGGGAUUGACAGUUUGAGAGCGCUUUCUUGAUUGGUUGGGUGGUGGUGCAUGGCCGUUCUUAGUUGGUGGAGUGAUUUGUCUGCUUAAUUGCGUUAACGAACGAGACCUUAACCUGCUUACUAGACUGGCGAUCAUCAAUCGUUAGCUCUUCUUAGAGGGACUUUGGUUGUUUUAACUCCAAGGAAGUUUGAGGCAAUAACAGGUCUGUGAUGCCCUUAGAUAUCCUGGGCCGCACGCGUCAUACAAUGACUAGUUCAGAAAGUUUUCUCCUGACCCGAAAGGGGAUGGGUAAUCUUGAUAAUACUAGUCGUUUUAGGGAUCGAUCUUUGCAAUUAUAGAUCUUGAACGAGGAAUUCCUAGUAAGUGCGGUUCAUCAGACCGUACUGAUUACGUCCCUGCUCUUUGUACACACCGCCCGUCGCUUCUACCGAGUGGGUGGUCCGGUGAGAUAAUUGAACUUCGCAGGUAACUGAGAGGAAAGAUUAUCAAACCUAUCCACCUCGAGGAAGAAGAAGUCGUAACAAGGUU